rnacentral:rRNA from 1 species
CAGUCGCCACGGGAAUACAGAGGGUGCGAGCGUUAAUCGGAUUUACUGGGCGUAAAGCGUGCGUAGGCGGCUUCUUAAGUCGGAUGUGAAAUCCCUGAGCUUAACUUAGGAAUUGCAUUCGAUACUGGGAAGCUAGAGUAUGGGAGAGGAUGAUAGAAUUCCAGGUGUAGCGGUGAAAUGCGUAGAGAUCUGGAGGAAUACCGAUGGCGAAGGCAGCCAUCUGGCCUAAUACUGACGCUGAGGUACGAAAGCAUGGGGAGCAAACAGGAUUAGAUACCCCUGUAGUCCCUGUCUCUUAUAC